rfam:Pan troglodytes isolate Yerkes chimp pedigree #C0471 (Clint) chromosome 20, whole genome shotgun sequence.
GCUGGGCAUGGUGGCUCAUGCUUGUAAUCCCAGCUCUUUGGGAGGCUGAGGUGAGAGGAUUGUUUGAGUCCAGGAGUUCAACACCAGCCUGGGCAACAUAGCGAGACCUCAUCUCUA